rnacentral:sRNA from 1 species
GCGCUUUUCAAAAAACGAGAUGCGGUAUUCUAGUCAAUCUGUUGUGUUUUGAAGACGGGCCUAAAAAUCCGUUUAAGGGCAUAUCGAUGAAGUUCCUGGUGUUGGCUUGUAACGCCCCGUUGUGGGCUGAUACUGGGGGUUAAGGUUUGUGGGCGAUCCAUAAGGGCAUAUGGGCGUUGACCCGCUUACCGUGGAGACCUAUGCUUGUGCUUAUCCCUAUGGGGAUAAUGUAUGACUUAGGAUGAAACCUGCCAUGCGGUGUUAGCUGUGGGCAGAGUAGCCUUCCUUGAGUGAAGGAAGGGGGACAUCCAUUUACUAGGGGGUUCUUUGGCCGAAGAACUUUCCUAGAUUGUGGAUAGAAACCUGAUUCGCAAAAGAGGAUAGGAACAUUAUAGAUUGUUUGAGGAAAACUCCUAGACCGUUUGAAAAAGGUAGUGUUUGGAUUACAGUGUGGUUUUUAAGGCGAUCUGGCGCUAAGCCCUAGGCUUAGAAGUCUUUUUAAAGGGAAACCGCUCAUUUGGCGACAAAAGAGUAGGGACUUGGGAAAACCUGCUAGACUAUAUGCCACAAAAUUUACAAACACUAUCAUCUCGAUUUUUGAGAAGUGG